CCUACGGGAGGCAGCAGUGGGGAAUAUUGCACAAUGGGGGAAACCCUGAUGCAGCGACGCCGCGUGAGUGAAGAAGUAAUUCGUUACGUAAAGCUCUAUCAGCAGGGAAGAAAUACUUACCUUACGGUCAGCAGACGGUACCUGAGUAAGAAGCCCCGGCUAACUACGGGCAAGCAGCCGCGGUAAUACGUAGGGGGCAAGCGUUAUCCGGAUCUACUGGGUGUAAAGGGAGCGUAGACGGUGCGACAAGUCUGGAGUGAAAGGCCGCAGCUUAACUGAGGAACUGCUUUGGACACUGGCGAACUAGAGUGGGUGAGGGGUAAGCGGAAUUCCAAGUGUAGCGGUGAAAUGCGUAGAUAUUAGGAGGAACACCGGUGGCGAAGGCGGCUUACUGGACCGUAACUGACGUUGAGGCUCGAAAGCGUGGGGAGCAAACAGGAUUAGAUACCCGAGUAGUC
rnacentral:rRNA from 1 species